rnacentral:rRNA from 1 species
CACGUAAGUUGCGAGCGUUGUUCGGAAUUAUUGGGCGUAAAGAGCGCGCAGGUGGUUGAUUAAGUCUGAUGUGAAAUCUCACAGCUUAACUAUGAGCGGUCAUUGGAAACUGAGGAACUUGAGUAUAGAAGAGAAGAGUGGAAUUCCAAGUGUAGCGGUGAAAUGCGUAGAUAUUUGGAGGAACACCAGUGGCGAAGGCGACUCUUUGGUCUAUUACUGACGCUGAGGUACGAAAGCAUGGGUAGCAAACAGGAUUA